rnacentral:lncRNA from 1 species
CAUAUUGUUGUUCGAAAAGCAUAGCUCAUGAUACUAUAUGUAGCAAGCAAGCGAUAGUCAUACGCAUAGGAUUGUCAUGGUUUGUUUUAUGUAAGAUCGAAAAUGAUGCACCAAGUCAUGUAGGAAAGGAUUCUUGUGAUCUGUGUAGAUUGGAUAGACAAUCAUGCAGAGGCCUUUGGACGUGUAGUUGAAGACGAAAGCAUAUAUUUAUUUUAUCAUGGUUGUUUCAAAAGCAUACCGAACAGCAGUCUAAGCAGCAAAUAAUCGAUAGCUAAAUGCACAGGAUGGUCAUAGUGGAUUACAUAAGAUCCAAAAGGAUGCUAAACACAAAAGUCUUGAUAGGCUUUAUACUAAUAUUAAGUUAUAUAACAAGGGGCUUUUGCAGUUGGCUUAUAUUGAGUAGAUGAUCAGACGCAGUCCCUUGGAAGUGCAUUUGAAGGCGAAAGCAUAUGCUUGCCCUUUGUUCAUGUCUGCGUGACGGAAGAAGUUGCUCCAGCCUUUAGUGAUGGUGGCCCUUUUUGUCAACACCCUUGAUAAAGCGGGUUGUGACAACGGUAGUUCCAUCUCCAGUAGGGAUUGGGAGUUCACCACGGUCAGCAUCCAUGUGUGGGAAAAGGGAACCCGUAGAAAAGGGAACGCUAAAGUACUGAAAAUAACAGUAAAGGUUAGUUACUAUAUCAUUUUAUACCAUGCUAUUGUAUGAAAUUGGACAGAGCAAUUGCAAAGGAUUACCAUUCUUUUGCCGUCUGUUGCAAAUGUUUCUGUCAUGUGGCACACAUAGUAGCAAUCAGGCGUGGUGGUGCUGUGGAUGAUCUUUCACACUCUACGAACAUUAUGGUUGUAGCACAAUGUGGCGACUAAACUCAUCUAAGUAGUGGAUGCAAGGCUCACCUAUGUUAAAUUGUAUAAAGCUAUAUCUUUUAGCAGUUGUCGUGAGAGUUGUUGGAAUGAGAGGAGUAAUGUAGCCCUUAACACGGAGAAUGUACUUUCCUGCCUUUAGAUGGAUUUUUUGCCUUUCAAUCCUGCCCAAUGAGGCGCACUCGAUCCCACAUAUAUUCAAACCUGCAUGAACUCUAGAUGAACCGCUAGCUGCAUUCCACUCCGCUCCAUUCCACCCCCACCCUCUCUACUUCCCCUCCGCCCCCAAACUCCUUUCGGGCGAUCUCCGGCAUGGCAGUCAGCGGAUCCGAGUCCUACGCAUCUUGAUCCGUUGACUGGAAACUCGUCCCACGCAGCCUCUAGGAGAAGAGAUGGUUGUCCGCAUUGUGCUCCAUCGAUCUCGGGAGGAGUCUGCCCAACAUCGCUCGUACUCCAUCUAGUAGGAACCCAUUGCGUCCACCCAAAUGACGCACGGAUCCGGUGCGACGCGCGUCGCCACUGCCUCGCUGGAGGCGGUGUGAUCCGUCUGGUGUCCGAACGCUGUGGCGGAUGCUCAACCGCUUCAUUAGUGCACCGAGGCGGAGGUGCACAUCCGCUUCAUGUCAGACGCAAAUAUGGCGUUGUGUUCCCACCAUGCGAGGCAGUGGGUGUGGGAGCCGACGAUAGCCCUCGCGACAGACAUGGGCGUGACGGAGUCGCACUCUUCGACGCUGCAGCGGGUGAUCGGUGACCCCUGACGCCACAACCGCGUCGUAAUGGACGUGUCAGCCUUCGACCACGGCGGAUCCAUCGUCAAGCUCAUUUCCACCGGCGACAUGCAGGCUCCAGGCUCUGACAAGAGUAGGUCAUGAGAUACAUCAGCACCUCAAGUCCCAUGAGCUGAUGCGUGUCCCAUGUCCUACUCUACCUCGUCGGUGACCGCACUUCCACUCCAAGGGGCACAACCAGCCGUUGGACAUGGACACUGCUGGAACAAUAAUGACGGUCACCGGCGAAAUUUUAGAAUAGUUUCAUGUUACAUGUAAUUGUAUAAAAUUUGAUGAUUUGCAAAUGGUAUAUCCGAUUGUGGAAACAAUUUUUAUGUGUUGAUCAAUCACUGUCUGCAGACACAUCCGGACACGUCCACGAACCUUUAGAUAAGGAUUUUGAUACUUGUGGUUGUAGAUGCUCUUAUAUUAAGAUAAGUGGGAAUAUUGAUGAAACAAUACAGAUUAUACCAGUUACAUAAAGUACAAAUUAGCACCAAAGAUAAAAAUACAACCAUGACAUUGUGAGAAAGAACCACACACUCUGGAGUAUGGACACCUAUACACAGGUUGACACCUAUACACACGGGUUGCACAUAUAACGCCAGAGAUAACCAUGUGGUGGACUGUUAGCCUUGAUUCCAUCGAUCAGUUCAUCCUCUUCCUCUCCCCACUGUACUGGAGAAAACACCUGGUGUAGACGAUUCACGCUGGACUCCAUCUUCGCAGUGGAUCACGCUGCAGCUUCACGGGGGAGCGGAUCACGCUGCAGCUCGAAGGCACUACGGCUCCAACUGCAUCUCGGCGGCCUGGCAGCUCGAAGGCGCAGCACCGCAGCUGCUCCAUCUGCAUCUGGGCAGCCUGGCAGCUCCCGCUACAGCUCGGAGCUGCGGAAUCUGCAGAUGGCGCCGCUGUUACUCGUAUCAGCGAGCCAAAUCCUCACGGUUGCUGUUGUCGCUCCCUGCCGAAGGUGGCGUCUCUUCUGGCAGCCUGGCACUCCCUGAAGCUGGUGACUUUCCAUGGCUAGGGAGGCUCCACCAAGCCCACGGCAGUCGCCGUUGCCGCUCAGGUAAAAACUAACCUCCUUCGGUGUUUUAUGAAUAUGUAGAAUUUUUGUGAUUCAAUUCCACCGUAGCACGAGGGGCAUCAUGAUCUACUAUUUUGCUGAGAUUAGUGGCACGGCAAAGUACAUAUUCAUUUUCUGAAAAAUAGAACAAGAUGCAGGGACUGAUCACUCGUAGAAGUAAACUCCAAAAGGAGAAGCUUAUAACUUCACUAAAUAACUAUACCAGGAGCAACAUUACUGUCUGCAUCCUCAUGGUCUCGUCAUUUACAACAGGCCCAGUUGGAAAAUGGCCUGUCAGGCCAUUGACGUUCCUGACGUGGUGCAUCGGCCCACAUCGGUGAACCAUCGCCGGAGUUGAACUUGUUGAUGGACAGUGACGGAAUGCAUCCACUGAACAAAGUAAGCACUUUCCUGUUUGUUUAUCAAAUCUCUCAUUCUUACCUUAGACAUACAAAUGAAAAAAAGAGGUACGGGAGACUAAACAAAGAGAAACCAAGAUACCGAAUGAAUACAGAGUGAUAUGAAAAUAGAAAACAAAAUGUGAAUAGAGACCAAAGACUCGGAAAACAGAGAGUAAGAACGAACACCGAGGACCUAGCACUACUAUGUUAAUAGGCAAGUCGUGUUGAUACUUAGAUGAGUGAUUCAAUGUUGAGUACUAAUUAGUGGCUGGGACUGCUCCAAUCAUUGAGCUGGGUAUAUUGUAUAUAAUACAUAGUUGAGUGAUGGCCUUUAGAUGUUUCAGAUGCUAAAGAGUAUUUUCUAAUUAACAUAUACAUUAUGCUAUGCAUCCUGACAUAUGCCCUGUUCAUCAUUUAGUGUAUCUAAGAAAAUUCAUUGUUGGUGUAUAUAAAAAACACUACAUACCAAGAGAUGAAAGGGCCAAACUGCGCCAAUUAAGAUUGCAAUAUUUGUUAUCUUCUUUUAUGAAACAAAUGAGUUACGUGCUGACCAAAUUAAACCAAAGUUUGUCAUCCUUGUUCUAUGCAAACACAAGGGAGGUGUGGCUAUUCUCUAAAAUGCAACAAACUCACAUACAUUCUCAUAUAUACAGUCUUUGAUUCACUCACACGUUUUUCAUAAUAUUUAGAAGCACGAGAUAAUAGUAGUAAAGGACUAAAAGAGAAAAUAAUACCAGAGGUAAUGAGCAUUGAGCAACACCAAAAAACCUUGUGAAAAAAGGCUUAUUGUAUUUUUGGCAUCUUCCAGAUGCUACAGAUAGAUACCACAGCCCGACAAAAAUCAAUAAAUCUACCGCAAUAGUUAAUCUAUUGUACUGUAUCAAUUUCUUGUGCUAACCAAAAUUCCUUGUUGGUGUAUCUAAGAAAUACUAUAUACCAAGUGAUGAAAGGGCCAAACUGUGCCAAUUAAGAUUGCAAUAUUUCUUAUCUUUUCUUUAAGAAAUAAAUGAGUUCUUUGAAUGCAAAGAACAGAUAAGUGCUAACCAAGAAUUAAACCAAAGUAUGUUCUAAUGUAGAUUUCUUACCAGCAUCUCUAGCAUAAAGGAAAUCAAUGUCAAUAACAGCCUCUAAAACCUCAGUACAUAAAAAUUAGGAUGCUUCUUAAGUGUUUUUCUGUUUCCAUAGUAAAUCAUUGAGCUUAUUAUAGCAGCAUGAACAGUCAAUACACUUCGUUAGUACGCAGACUGAAAUACAUACCACAUAUUCUUGCCAUCUCUUACACUUGAUGAUCACAUAUUGUACUUCUGAUUGCACAGUCCUCUCUUUCUCGAAGAAAAUACAUCACUAUGAAUCAGUGGGUUCCACAUAGUCCGUGCAACGUCAUGGAAUUCAAAGCUGGUGCAUAAAUUUGUCCUGUAAAUCCACCAUCCAUAUGGUAAAGUAGACAUGCUUGUGUACUGGCCUUUACAUGAACAUUCUCCAGGCUGAACAUUGACACAUCUUCAGAAAAACUCG